CUCCCUUCUUUUCGAUUGAUCCCCUCCUCCAUCGUCGAUCCUCUAUCUCCCUCUUCCUUCCUCCUCCCCUUCCUCCUCACUCAUUUUUCCUCCUUUAUAGUAGCUCCCUCCACCUCCAUCCAUUCCUCUAUUGUCUCUCCUUUCUCCUCCUCAUCUUUCCUCCUCUCUGAUUGAUCUUCUCCUCCUCCAUUACUGGUAUCCCUCUUUCUCCCUCCUCAUUCCUCCUUCCUUUCCUCCUCACCCAUUUUUUCUCCUCCAUGG
rnacentral:lncRNA from 1 species